UGCCAGACUCCUACGGGAGGCAGCAGUGGGGAAUAUUGGGCAAUGGGCGCAAGCCUGACCCAGCAACGCCGCGUGAAGGAAGAAGGCUUUCGGGUUGUAAACUUCUUUUAAGAGGGAAGAGCAGAAGACGGUACCUCUUGAAUAAGCCACGGCUAACUACGUGCCAGCAGCCGCGGUAAUACGUAGGGGGCAAGCGUUAUCCGGAUUCACUGGGCGUAAAGGGAGCGCAGGCGGCAUGGCAAGUCUGAUGUGAAAACCCGGGGCCCAACCCCGGGAGUGCAUUGGAAACUGCCAGGCUGGAGUGUCGGAGGGGUAAGCGGAAUUCCUAGUGUAGCGGUGAAAUGCGUAGAUAUUAGGAGGAACACCAGUGGCGAAGGCGGCUUACUGGACGACUACUGACGCUGAGGCUCGAAAGCGUGGGGAGCAAACAGGAUUAGAUACCCCUGUAA
rnacentral:rRNA from 1 species